rnacentral:rRNA from 1 species
AGGACGAACGCCGGCGGCGUGCUUAACACAUGCAAGUCGAGCGGUAAGGCCUUUCGGGGUACACGAGCGGCGAACGGGUGAGUAACACGUGGGUGAUCUGCCCUGCACUCUGGGAUAAGCCUGGGAAACUGGGUCUAAUACCGGAUAUGACCUGCUCUCGCAUGGGGGUGGGUGGAAAGAUUUAUCGGUGCAGGAUGGGCCCGCGGCCUAUCAGCUUGUUGGUGGGGUAAUGGCCUACCAAGGCUUUGACGGGUAGCCGGCCUGAGACGGGUGACCGGCCACACUGGGACUGAGACACGGCCCAGACUCCUACGGGAGCA